rnacentral:rRNA from 1 species
UUGAGUUUGAUCCUGGCUCAGAGCGAACGCUGGCGGCAGGCUUAACACAUGCAAGUCGAGCGCCGUAGCAAUACGGAGCGGCAGACGGGUGAGUAACACGUGGGAACGUGCCUUUUGGUUCGGAGCAACACAGGGAAACUUGUGCUAAUACCGAAUGUGCCCUUCGGGGGAAAGAUUUAUCGCCUUUGGAGCGGCCCGCGUCUGAUUAGCUUGUUGGUGAGGUAAAGGCUCACCAAGGCUACGAUCAGUAGCUGGUCUGAGAGGAUGAUCAGCCACACUGGGACUGAGACACGGCCCAGACUCCUACGGGAGGCAGCAGUGGGGAAUCUUGCGCAAUGGGCGAAAGCCUGACGCAGCCAUGUCGCGUGAAUGAUGAAGGUCUUAGGAUUGUAAAAUUCUUUCACCGGGGAAGAUAAUGACGGUACCCGGAGAAGAAGCCCCGGCUAACUUCGUGCCAGCAGCCGCGGUAAUACGAAGGGGGCUAGCGUUGCUCGGAUUUACUGGGCGUAAAGGGCGCGUAGGCGGACAGUUUAGUCAGAGGUGAAAGCCCGGGGCUCAACCUCGGAAUUGCCUUUGAUACUGGCUGUCUUGAGUACGGGAGAGGUGUGUGGAACUCCGAGUGUAGAGGUGAAAUUCGUAGAUAUUCGGAAGAACACCAGU